rnacentral:rRNA from 1 species
ACGAACGCUGGCGGCGUGCUUAACACAUGCAAGUCGCACGGAAAGGCCCUGCUUUUGUGGGGUGCUCGAGUGGCGAACGGGUGAGUAACACGUGAGUAACCUGCCCUUGACUUUGGGAUAACUUCAGGAAACGGGGGCUAAUACCGGAUAGGAGCUCCUGCUGCAUGGUGGGGGUUGGAAAGUUUCGGCGUUUGGGGAUGGACUCGCGGCUUAUCAGCUUGUUGGUGGGGUAGUGGCUUACCAAGGCUUUGACGGGUAGCCGGCCUGAGAGGGUGACCGGCCACAUUGGGACUGAGAUACGGCCCAGACUCCUACGGGAGGCAGCAGUGGGGAAUAUUGCACAAUGGGCGGAAGCCUGAUGCAGCAACGCCGCGUGCGGGAUGACGGCCUUCGGGUUGUAAACCGCUUUCGCCUGUGACGAAGCGUGAGUGACGGUAAUGGGUAAAGAAGCACCGGCUAACUACGUG